GACGAACGCUGGCGGCGUGCUUAACACAUGCAAGUCGAACGGAAAGGCCCUGCUUUUGUGGGGUGCUCGAGUGGCGAACGGGUGAGUAACACGUGAGUAACCUGCCCUUGACUUUGGGAUAACUUCAGGAAACUGGGGCUAAUAACGGCUAGGAGCUCCUGCUGCAUGGUGGGGGUUGGAAAGUUUCGGCGGUUGGGGAUGGACUCGCGGCUUAUCAGCUUGUUGGUGGGGUAGUGGCUUACCAAGGCUUUGACGGGUAGCCGGCCUGAGAGGGUGACCGGCCACAUUGGGACUGAGAUACGGCCCAGACUCCUACGGGAGGCAGCAGUGGAGAAUAUUGCACAAUGGACGGAAGCCUGAUGCAGCAACGCCGCGUGCGGGAUGACGGCCUUCGGGUUGUAAACCGCUUUCGCCUGUGACGAAGCGUGAGUGACGGUAAUGGGUAAAGAAGCACCGGCUAACUACGUG
rnacentral:rRNA from 1 species